AUGAGGCUGACUUUGAACUUGUGAUUCUCCUGCCUCAGGCUCCUGAGCACCUGGGAGUACAGAAGCUGGAGCAGCAUAUGGAAGAUUAGAGAUCCCUAAUACUGAAGAAAGAGAACUGAGGAGGGAUCUCUGUGGAUGAGUCAUCCCUCUAUACUUCAGCUAGACCACUUCUCCUAGUCCAGGAGGUAUACCGAAUGAUGCAUUAUCUUGGGCAUAAGAAAGUGACUGUCAUUCUCAUGGACAGUGGAGAAAAAUGGAAGCAUGAGCCAAGAGAAGAUUCCAGAACCUAUGAACAGUCAAACCACUAAAGGAAGAUAGAUGGACAACUGAGGUGAAUAGAAGAGUCAAAGACGGACAAGACUUCUUCAAUUGUUCCUACUUGUGGGGGUUCCCGGGACCCCCAGCCUUGGGCAUGGUCAAGAUGGCGCCUGACGCUGAGCCAAAAGCAGCCAGCUAUACAGUAAACAACCAGCGAAUUCCAAUGAUUGGCUAGU